rnacentral:tRNA from 1 species
AGUAAAAUAAGCUAAGAAAGCUUUUGGGUCCAUGCCCCGAAUAUGUUGGAUAAAACCUUCUUUUACUA